GGCCUGAUGGUCUAGUAGUAUGAUUCCUUGUUAGGGUGCUGUAAACACCGUUCGAGGAGGUCCCGGGUUCAAUUCCCGGUCAGGCCC